CGAAGUCACCAUGGAAAUCGGCAAAAUCCAUUACGAUAUGUGUAAAAUUGGAGUUUCAAGGGUUAUUAUGAAACCCGAGGCGCAAUUUGAAGCUUCUUUGCAGAGCAUGUUCAUGGACUCAAAACUUAACAAUAUGCAGCAUUUUGUUGGCACAUUGGAGAAACUAUGCAAAAAGGUAUCACAUGUACAAGGAUAAAAAUCCCUUGAUCGUGGGCUGUUGAGCAAGAUCAUUUUUCAGGAUGGUUCAUCUCAGGAGACAAUAGAGUUGCUAUUGAGACACUUUCUCUUUAGGCCUACUACAAUGGUAUAACGAUUUUUAGAUAUCAGGGGUGAUUUUGUCUGUUAUGAUUGCAAGUCCUUCAAAAGUUUCCAGGACAGUGACCGUAGUUAUGAUCCUCCAGAGGAUAUGCCAAUGUAUUCUGUAUUUAGAUACUAGAUCUCCUUCUCAUGUAGUAGUAGUUUUUUGUUUCUGAAAUUCUGUAUAAUGUCAAACAGAGUGAAAUUUUUUAGAAUUGUAGAGUAAAAUCAGUUGACCUGUUGCAACUUUAUAGAUAGGAAUGGCAUAAUCUUCUUUCUUUUC